rnacentral:rRNA from 1 species
AUUGAACGCUGGCGGCAUGCCUUACACAUGCAAGUCGAACGGCAGCACGGGAGCUUGCUCCUGGUGGCGAGUGGCGAACGGGUGAGUAAAGCAUCGGAACGUGCCCUGAAGUGGGGGAUAACGUAGCGAAAGUUACGCUAAUACCGCAUAUUCUGUGAGCAGGAAAGCGGGGGAUCUUCGGACCUCGUGCUUUAGGAGCGGCCGAUGUCGGAUUAGCUAGUUGGUGAGGUAAAGGCUCACCAAGGCGACGAUCCGUAGCGGGUCUGAGAGGAUGAUCCGCCACACUGGGACUGAGACACGGCCCAGACUCCUACGGGAGGCAGCAGUGGGGAAUUUUGGACAAUGGGCGCAAGCCUGAUCCAGCCAUGCCGCGUGAGUGAAGAAGGCCUUCGGGUUGUAAAGGUACUCUUUCGGUCGGGGAAGAAAGUUGCUUAGGUUAAUACCCUAGUGUGGAUGACGGUACCGGCGAUAAGAAGCACCGGCUAACUACGUAGCCAGCAGCCGCGG